rnacentral:rRNA from 1 species
GACAGAGGUGCCGAGCGUUAGGCGGAAUCACUGGGCUUAAAGCGUGUGUAGGCGGGUCCGUAAGUACCUUGUGAAAUCCCAUGGCUCAACCAUGGAACUGCUUGGUAUACUGCGGGUCUUGAGCCACCUAGGGGCAAGUGGAACAAACGGUGGAGCGGUGAAAUGCGUAGAUAUCGUUUGGAACGCCAAUGGUGAAAACAACUUGCUGGGGGUGUGCUGACGCUGAGACACGAAAGCCAGGGGAGCAAACGGG